UAAAGACUAUUGUAAAGAGCAGAACCUGACCCAAGCACUGCUCAGGCUUUGCUCUCCAGGAUGCUCCAAUGCAAACUGCUUUAGUGCUCAGAGGCAGCAGCACAAACCAACUUCCUCAGCUUAUAAUGCUUUGCUUUCUGGGAACAAGGCGGGAGCACUUCUAGGAGGACCUGUCAUCCUUCUAGGAUGUCAUUUCCCAGAGAUGAGGAGGAUCCCAACCGGUUUUGUGUUUCAAUGGCAGUGGCACAGAAGGGAUCCUGCUACUGCAGUCUCUUGGACAAAGCUGGAGUGUACUUGCUCUCCUGGGAGCUGAGGUCAGUCACAUGGUUCAAGAAGUUUGUUACAAAGCAGAAGGACUUCUUGUUUCAUAGGAAAUAACAUAGCUCAAAUAAAGUACAACUGAAAUACUCA